GCCAAAAAAACCAAUGGGGUUUUUACAAAUUCUUCAAGAAUGUCGAGCCGAAGGACUAUGGCCAAUUGGGCCAUCUUGUAAUAAGGUGCUGUGAAAAAUUUGGAAAAAAAUUAUUAUACAUUCGUCGAAAAAUUUCAUCUCAGUUUAAAGGCGCACACAUUUUUUGUACUUUGGGUCUCACCACGAUUUCGACUUUUUGAAGCUUAAAAUCACUAAAAAUUACGUGGAUCGUGGCAGGACAAAAAAGUGUUAUUAUACAUUCGCCAAAAAAUGCCAGCUGAUGAAAGGUGCAUGUUUUUUGCAAAAAUUGCAAAAAAUUACCAAUCGAAAAAAAAAACUCAUAUUUUUCCGAUGGGUCUCGCCACGAUCUGCGUCUUUUGGAUCCUAAAAGAACCCAAAAUUAUGUGAAUCGUGGCGGGACCCAGAAGUGUAUGCGCCUUUAAAAUAGGAGAGUAUAUUUUUGAGAAUGUGUAAUAAUUUAUUUUUUUGCUUUGAAGAAACUUUUUAUCAUUUUAUGAUAAUAAUAAUUUUAUUAUACAUACGUCGAAAAAAUGUCAUGGCAAUUACCUUUAGGUCUCGCCACGAUCUACGUCUUUUGGAUCCUAGAAGCGUCCAAAAUCACGCAAUUCGUGACGAGACCCAACAGUGUAUGCGUCUUUAAAAUAAGCUUGCAUAAUUGUGGGAAUGUAUAAUAAUUUAUUAUUGUAUUUUUUCAAUUAUUUAUUACAAAAAAAUGUAUCAAAAAAUUUUAUACAAAUCAACAAAAAAAACAAAAACAAUUUUUUUCGUGUACUCCACACGGACAACAAACUGUAGUUUUACAACUAAAACGCGCCGUAAAUCUACACAAAAUCUCUCCGACCCAAAAUGGCCUAAUUCGGCAAACUCUGCCAUUUCGAUUCAUGAGGGAAGCCAGAAUUCCGUGUUUUAACCGAAAAUUCCAGAGUCUAUCAAAAAAUUCCAAUUUCACCUUUCUACCGUAGUCCAGCGCGGGAAUUCAAAAUUCUCACGUUCCACCGGUCUCCCUUAUCAAUAUAUAUAUCAUCCUCACGGGGUUCUGGCUCGACCCCCCUCUCGAAAAUUUUGGAAAAUGGCGGGAAAAAAUAUUUGAUCUCGCAAGAGGAAUUUUCACGCAGCGCGUUGAAAAAGUGUAUGCAUUUGCGCGUGACGGUGUUUGCACAAAAUACACCGAGGGGUCGAGCCAGAACCCCGUGCAUCCUCCCAAUCACUUUCACUGGUUACUUUUUCAUUUUACCUUUUUUUUUACGAAUUUCCGUUCGCGAAACCAAAAAAAAAAUUCCAAAAAAAAGACCGGUGGCUAUAAUUACAGUACUGCUAUUUUCGCAUCGCCAAGGGGGUUAGAUCAGGGGUGCGCGGCAAUUGCCGUACGGCAAUCGAAUUGUCGGCAAUUUCGGCAAUUGCCGAAAUUGCCGAUUGCCGAAAAUUUUGAAAACCGGCAAUUGUCGAAAUUGCCGAUUGCCGGAAAUUUUCGAUUGCCGCGCACCCCUGGGUUAGAUGUUCUUCUCUCCUAUGUGUGUAUAUGUGCUAUCAGUCGAGUACUGAAAAUUGUGCAUGAUUUUUCAAAAAAAAAAAACCACCCAAGUCUUGACUCCUUUUUUUUCGCUGUUUUUUUCUGGAAAACUCAAAAUAUUUGUUCUCUAUUUUUCAAUAAUUUUGAAAAAUAAACCUUUAAAUUGGCUCUCGCCACGAUUUUAGCGGGUCUUUUUUUUCAAAUUUUCAAAUUAUAUAUUUUUUUAUUUAACAAUUCCAAUUUUUACCGAUUUUCAUUGAAAAUUGGCACGGGUUUCUAAUUUCCCCCCUGUUUUCAAAUGGAAGAGGUGGCCGUGAAAAAAGCGAACCUCGACCGGGGGUCGCGACCGGGAAAACUCAACGAAAUUUCGCAUUUUCGUUGCUUUUUUCGGUUUCAAAACACGUUUUCGUUUGAUUUUGUAUUAAAUAAAAUGCAAAAUCGAUUGAAAACGUGUUUUGAAACCGAAGAAAGCAACGAAAAUGCGAAAUUUCGUUAAGUUUUUCCGGUCGCGACCCCCGGUCGAGGUUCGCUUUUUUCACGGCCACCUCUUCCAUUUGAAAACAGGGGGAAAUUAGAAACCCGUGAAUUGGCGAAUUCUCAUUUAAAAAGUUUAAAAAUUGCUUGAGACUUACAGUAGUUUUAAAGGAGCAUGCACAAAUUCUUGCGAUGGGUCUUGCCACGAACUCUAUUCUUCGAAUUUUAAACUCAAAUUUAAAGAUUUUCUUCUCAUUUUUUGCCUAAUAUUCAUCAAAUCUAUUGAUUUUUCUUGCAGAGAAUGUGCCAGGAGGCUCGCCACGUCAGCUUCUAAAUAAUCAACACUAUUUGGAGCAUCAAGAGCCCCCGCGUCAAGCAAUUUUCAACGCAACUCUCCAAAUUCAACAGGAAAUCAAAAACAACGAAAACGGCGGCAUGAUGGCCCCCAGUACUGAGGUUAAUUCGGAGAAAUUUGAAUUAGAAGGCUAAUUUUUACGAUUUUUACCAUAAAAAUCCGUUAAAAACCAUAAUUUUUCCAGGAUCCCGAUACGGUUGUCGAGGCUCAACGUCGUGGAAGCUUCUCGAAGAAAAAGAACGCAAAUGGGUGGAAUAAGGUCGAACUUGUCGAUCAGUGUGUGAGUUUGUGUGACUGAGAAAAAAAAUCUAUCAAAAAUCGAAAAUUUCUACUGUAAAAACGAGAAAAUCUCGAAUUUUCACGUUUUUCAGCGAAAAUUGCCGCAAAAGUUAUAGAUUUUUGAGAAAAUGCCCAUUUUUCAGACAAAAACUUUUAGAAAAAGCGGAUUUCUGACGAAAAUUUGUGAAAAUCGAAUUUUCCCUUAAAAUUGGCUUAAAGAAGGAGUAUCGUCAACGGGGAAAUUGUUUUAAAAUGUAGUAUUGGUGCUCAAACUUCCAAUUAUUACAGAAGAAAAACGAGAAAAAUCCGUUAACAUUGAGCAUUUAGCCGUUGAAAUCGACGAAAGUGGCUGAAUUUGAAUUUAGCGCGCAUAUGAAACCUAGGCCACCACACGAUUUCUAGGCCAUAUUCGUUCAACAAAAUAUUGAUUUAAAUGUAAUUAUUUCGAACUUUAAUUUGUUUUUCUUUCUCAAAAAGUUUAAGAAAACUGAGAUAAAGGAAUUGUAUUAAGUACUUAUCAAAAAUACAAUACACAACAGAAUAAAAAUUCGAUUGAUCCUGGCACUGCAACUUUUUUUGAACGAGGGCCGAGGAGAAAACGUUUCGCGGCCGUGGCCGAGGAUCCGACAAUAUUUCGCGUUUUUUUUCUCGCUUAUUUUUUGUUGUUUUCAUGCACGGCCUCCCGCACGAGAAAAGCGCACACUCUCUCACUUUUUGUUUGCGCGUUUGCGGACGACCACCUUGCCUCGCCGCCGCUUUCAACAGAGAUUCAUGAAAUUGAGCCAGAAUUGCUAUUUUUGAACGAAAUUUCGAAUUUUUUUCACAGAACUAGUGAAAUUGAUAAACUGGGAAGUCGGAAAUUACAAAAAAUAGUUAAUACGAGCUGUUUUUCAGUGAUUUUUCGCAAUAAUUAUAUGGAAUCAGAAGUAUUCUGGGCAAAAAAGCAUUUUUUUAGAUUGAAAAUUGUUAAAUAUAAUACUAUCAGUGUAUUUGAACGGUUUAAAUAAAGAAAAUGUGUACGACUGUGGCUUCGGGCUGAUUCUCGCUCUUCUCGUGGCAAGUGGAUGUAUCGUAUGGACUUUGAACAGCUACAACUUUUUUCGCGUUGGAGAUAGAAACUAGCGAUAAACUGACAAAAUGAACAUCACAAAUAGGUGAACAUUUCUUUAGUUGACAAUUUUUUGAUAUCUCGUUCCACUAAAAAGAUUCAGCUAUGAUUAGAUGAUUGAAGUCUCAGAUACGGUACUCUCUCUUAAAACCAUCAAAUCUCUGUUCUCGUUGAAGAUACAAAAAUGUGUUCAACUGAAAAAAUGUUAAGCAGAUAAAAAACAACAUUUACCAGCAAGAACUACAUUUCUAUCUACAAAACUAAUAGAGAUUCUGACUUUUGAAAAGUGAUUAUCUUAAACCGGCCAUGUCAACAAAUCCUGAACAUUAACAUUGAGUUUUCUAUUGGAAACAUACUCUAUAUAAGAUAUCUAACAAAUUUGUAGUUGACUACUUUCUUCUAAUGUCUUUAUUUUUUGAGAUAUGAACUGAUCUCUGAUUUUCUCAUAAAUACGACUUUCGAGGCUUGUAACAAAUUUGUCUUACUAGUUAGAAAAAUAUUGUCAACAGAAGAAAUAUUCACCAUUUCAAACUGAACAUUUUGUUAGUUAACAAUUUUUUUGUAACUUUUAUAGGAGCGGAGAUAGGAGCAUCCAAAGUGUGAGGGCGCAGUAGAGUGGGUACUGUAGGUGCCGCCACCAACGCGCGCAGCCUUUGGCAUGACAUAAGUCCCUUCAAACUGGACUAAUCCACUUUCCCAAAAAUGUCUUUUAACUGGAAUUGAAAUACAAACAAUCCCUAACCACCGAAAUUUUUACUUUAAGUCAACUAUUUUUGGAAAAUUGCUAAAAAAAAUUGAAAACCUCAAAAAAUAGCCAAUUUAGUACUGAGGUGACUCUUCAAAUAUUAAUAACUUUCUCAAUUUCGGUCCAUUUUUUGAAAUUUUUAGCUCAAAAUGUUGGCAAUAAAAUUCUCUACAAACUUAUUGCGUCCGAUUUUAUUGUUCAAGCCAAAACUUUUUUGCAAAGUUCGAAAAAUUCCGAAAAGUGGUCCAUUUAGCACUGAGGUGACUCUUCAAAUAUUAAUAACUUUCUCAAUUUCGGUCCUUUUUUUGAAAUUUUUAGCCCAAAAUGUUCGCAAUAAAAUUCUCUACAAACUUAUUGCGUCCGAUUUUCAAUAUUUUAUGUUUCACGAUCCCUGCUCUGCUGGAAGUGCUGAACUUUCAAAAUGCAAACUUUUGUUGGUCGAAAAAUUAGAGCUUUAAACAAUUUUUUCGUCUGUUUUUUAUAUUGUCCCGAUAGCUUAACAAGAGUGGAAUAAUUUUUGUUUAAAAAAUAUCAUAUAAUCUUCGGAGUUGGGCCAAAGUUACCGGGAAUCCGUAAUUUUUAUUAUUUUCAAGAUAUUUCGUUUCGUGAUGAAGAAAAUUAUUCCUAUUUUAUUUCAAACGAAAGAUAAUUUCAUUCCUAAUAACCUCCAUUUGUUUAUUUUUCAAUUCAUUCAGUUUCCUCCAUUCCAGACCCAUUUUAAGAUAGCCGCUUGGGCGCCUACUCUCGCCAUGCUGUGGAGGUGAGAGACGCAGAGUCACUUUUUUUCUCUGCCGUCUCUCGGCGCAUUUCACGCGCAGGAGGCCGUGUUCAUGCGUGUUUUUUGUCAUUUUUCUUCAUUUUUUCUCGAUUUUUUUGACAUAAUAUUUGAAAACAAACAUUUUUUUCAGGAAAUUCACAGGAAAUUCGUCAAACCGCUGUCUCCGACGUGUUUUGAGGACAAUUUAAGAGG
rnacentral:sRNA from 1 species